ensembl:lncRNA novel transcript
AGAUAAAAAAGAAACACAGAGAUUGAGAGAGAUGGAAAGAGACAGAGACAGAAAUAAGGAGGCGGAGACAGAGAGACACAGAAGAAACACAGAGACAGAGACAGGGAGAAAGACAGACACAGACAGAAAAACAGAGAUAAAAGAAAAACACAGAGAGAGAAAUAGAGAAAGAGAUAGAGGCAGAAAGAUAAAGAGAGAUAAAAAAGAGAUAGAGAGGCAGAGAUGGACACAGACAGAGAAACAGAGACAAAGACAGAAACAGAGACAGAGAGAAGGACAGAUGACAAAGAGAGAUGGAAAAAAGAGACAGACACAAAGACCGAAAUAGACACAGAGACAGAGACACAGAGAAAAACAGAAAGACAGAGACAGAGACAAAGAGACACAGAGAACAGAGACAGAGAAAGGCAGAAACAGCAAGGCAGAGACUGAAAGACAGAGAUGGAGAGACAGAAAGAAAUGGAGAGAGAGAGGUUUUUCUGCCUUCCGCCAACAGAGAGAAGUGGACAGGCUGCAGCUUUAGAAGGGAGGCCCAAGCAGGGAUGGGUGUGUGACCUACUUCCCAACACUGAACUGCAGAAGAAAAUCUGCUAGGAAGCUUCUGGAAGAGCUUAUCCCCAAGAAUAAAGAG